UCUUCCUGCUCCACUACCUCAAGAGGAACCAAGAAAGAAGUGCUGGGGCUACCCCCUACCCCCACCCCCAGCAAAGGCUAGCAGGAACAAAGAUUCAUUCAAGAUAAUCACCAAAAGCCCAGAAGCUGUGACGUGGACCCUGUUGGGGAAGACUGACCAACUCUCCCUUCGCUGUGACUGCUGUUCUGCUCACCCGAUCCCGUCUUUAGUAUGGUGGCCAGAUGGAGUUGGGAGAUUAGCAGUGAUUAAGAAGAGAGCAGCAUCACUGAGGUGAAAUCUUCUGAGAAGUGUUUCCUGAAAUUUAGCACAUAGAAGCUGUGUUCCAGAGGCGGUCACAGUUGCACCUCACAUUGGAGCUGACCUUGCACUGUGUAAGAGUUACCAAAGUGGAAUUU